GACGAACGCUGGCGGCGUGCCUAAUACAUGCAAGUCGAACGCUUCUUUCCUCCCGAGUGCUUGCACUCGAUUGGAACGAGGAGUGGCGGACGGGUGAGUAACACGUGGGUAACCUACCCAUCAGAGGGGGAUAACACUUGGAAACAGGUGCUAAUACCGCAUAACAGUUUAUGCCGCAUGGCAUACGAGUGAAAGGCGCUUUCGGGUGUCGCUGAUGGAUGGUCCCGCGGUGCAUUAGCUAGUUGGUGAGGUAACGGCUCACCAAGGCCACGAUGCAUAGCCGACCUGAGAGGGUGAUCGGCCACACUGGGACUGAGACACGGCCCAGACUCCUACGGGAGGCAGCAGUAGGGAAUCUUGGGCAAUGGACGAAAGUCUGACCGAGCAACGCCGCGUGAGUGAAGAAGGUCUUCGGAUCGUAAAACUCUGUUGUUAGAGAAGAACAAGGACGUUAGUAACUGAACGUCCCCUGACGGUACCGAACCAGAAAGCCACGGCUAACUACGUG
rnacentral:rRNA from 1 species